AUGGAAGCAGCGAUAGAUGUUGACAAUGACGGGGACACAGACGCGAAUGAAUCAGAGGAGGAAGACAAUGAUGAGGAUGACAAUGAAGAAGAUGCAGAGGAGGAGGAGGAAGAGGAGGAGGAGGAGGAGGAGGAGGAGGACAAACAAGAAGAGGACAAAGGAGAGGAGGAGGAGGAGGAAGAAGAUAGUGAUGCAGAGGAGGAGGAAGAAGAAGGUGAGGCCGAAGAGGGGGAUAGGGACAAAGGUGCAGCGGUUGAUGGCAGUGAGAGGGGAGAAGACAAAGGCGCAACAGUUGAUGGUAGUGAGAGGGAAGAAGACGACGAUGAAGAAGACGAGGACGGUUAUGGCAUCACGAAGGAGCAAAUGAUGAAGCUACCAGGGAGGCAUUAUUGGGUCUUCAAUGUCAACUUGAGGGAUAGACGCUUCGAAGUUCUUGAUUCAAGCAGGACGCUAGACGACAUUGAGCUGAUGACCACCGCCUCUACCAUCGCGGGGGCAGUACACUAG
rnacentral:rRNA from 1 species